rnacentral:rRNA from 1 species
UACGUAGGGACCGAGCGUUGUCCGGAUUCAUUGGGCGUAAAGGGUGCGUAGGCGGUUUUUUAAGUUUGAUGUGAAAUCCCGGGGCUCAACCCUGGAAUUGCAUUGAAUACUGAAGAACUAGAGAUCUGGAGAGGAAACUGGAAUUUACGGUGUAGCAGUGAAAUGCGUAGAGAUCGUAAGGAAGACCAGUGGCGAAGGCGAGUUUCUGGACAGAUACUGACGCUGAGGCACGAAGGCCAGGGGAGCAAACGGG